rnacentral:rRNA from 1 species
GACGAACGCUGGCGGCGUGCUUAACACAUGCAAGUCGAACGGAAAGGCCCUGCUUUUGUGGGGUGCUCGAGUGGCGAACGGGUGAGUAACACGUGAGUAACCUGCCCUUGACUUUGGGAUAACUUCAGGAAACUGGGGCUAAUACCGGAUAGGAGCUCCUGCUGCAUGGUGGGGGUUGGAAAGUUUCGGCGGUUGGGGAUGGACUCGCGGCUUAUCAGCUUGUUGGUGGGGUAGUGGGUUACCAAGGCUGUGACGGGUAGCCGGCCUGAGAGGGUGAACGGCCACAUUGGGACUGAGGUACGGCACAGACUCCUACGGGAAGCGACAGUGGAGACUAUUACACAAUGGGCCGGAGCGUGAGGCAGCGACGCCGCGUGCGAGAUUACGGCCGUCGGGUAGUAAACCGCUUUCACCUAUGACAUAGCGUGAGUGACGGUAAUGGGUAAAGAAGCACCGGCUAACUACGUG